rnacentral:rRNA from 1 species
UACAGAGGGUGCGAGCGUUAAUCGGAAUUACUGGGCGUAAAGCGUGCGUAGACGGUUAUUUAAGUCGGGUGUGAAAUCCCCGGGCUCAACCUGGGAACUGCAUCUGUGACUGCAUAGCUAGAGUACGGUAGAGGGGGAUGGAAUUCCGCGUGUAGCAGUGAAAUGCGUAGAUAUGCGGAGGAACACCGAUGGCGAAGGCAAUCCCCUGGACCUGUACUGACGCUCAUGCGACGAAAGCGUGGGGAGCAAACGAGG